rnacentral:rRNA from 1 species
AUGUUCGAUCAACUAACAAUCACACAUGGCUUCCGGCAGCGAAUUGUUUGUGUUAGGCCACCUUGCACAAACGUUUCCACACAAAGAACUGUGUGUGAUAUACAUACCUACGAAAAUGUUUUUCUAGGAUUCACCGUGUGGGAUAUACAUACCUACGGAAAUGAUUUUCUGGGAUUCACCGUGUGGGAUGUACAUACCUACGGAAAUGAUUUUCUGGGAUUCACCGUGUGGGAUGUACAUACCUAUGGAAAUGAUUUUAUGGGAUUCACCGUGUGGGAUGUACAUACCUGCGGAAAUGAUUGGGUUUCGAUGCCUCGCCCGAUCGCAUACGGCCCCAGCCUGGGUCCCAGGAGGGCCUAUCCCCGACGAUUUUUGGGUCGUGUGGGAAGGACCCCCCUAUCGCCCACACUCACUUGGCGAUGGUUCCAAAUGCCGUCGCGGAAAGGGGUUAAAAACCGUUUGUUUAGCACGUCGCUGUACCAGUGA